AUUAUCGAUAAAUAUUUGAAUAAAUUUAUAUCUAACACUCGCCUAUUUAGGCGAGAUUUAUCUAGUUUCAUUAUAAAGUAUGGUUUUCAAAGUUAGUAACUCAUGAGAUCAUGCAAUGUGUCAAAUCUAACAAUCUCAGAUUUUACCAUGUGCCAAAUAACAUUUUCCUUUUAUUUAGCAAAACAUUUUAAA
rnacentral:sRNA from 1 species